CCUACGGGAGGCAGCAGUGAGGAAUAUUGGUCAAUGGACGAGAGUCUGAACCAGCCAAGUAGCGUGAAGGAUGACUGCCCUAUGGGUUGUAAACUUCUUUUAUAAAGGAAUACAACGAGGCACGUGUGCCUUUUUGCAUGUACUUUAUGAAUAAGGAUCGGCUAACUCCGUGCCAUCAGCCGCGGUAAUACGGAGGAUCAGAGCGGUAUACGGAUUUAUUGGGUGUAAAGGUAGCGUAGAUGGGUUGUUAAGUCAGUUGUGAAAGUUUGUGGCUCAACCGUAAAAUUGCAAUUGAUACUGGCAGUCUUGAGUACAGUUGAGGUAAGCGGAAUCCGUGGUGUAGCGGUGAAAUGCUUAGAUAUCACGAAGAACCCCGAUUGCGAAGGCAGCUUACUAAACUGUGACUGACAUUGAUGCUCGAAAGUGUGGGUAUCAAACAGGAUUAGAUACCCCAGUAGUC
rnacentral:rRNA from 1 species